AUUGAACGCUGGCGGCAGGCCUAACACAUGCAAGUCGGGCGAGCGGCGGACGGGUGCGUAGUGUAUGGGGAUCUGCCUGAUGGCGGGGGAUAACUACUGGAACCGGUAGCUAAUACCGCAUCCCAUCAGAUGCACCCAUAUGGGAUGAGCGAGUAGGUGAGGUAACGGCUUACCUAGGCGACGAUCCCUAGCGGGUCUGAGAGGAUGACCAGCCACACUGGAACUGAGACACGGUCCAUAUGCCUACGGGAGGAAGCAGGGGUGAAUAUUGCACAAUGGGCGCAAGCCUGAUGCAGCCAUGCCGCGUGUGUGAAGAAGGCCUGCGUGUUGUAAAGCACUUUCAGCGAGGAGGCGUUACUCGCAGAAGAAGCACCGGCUAACUCCGUGCCAGCAGCCGCGGUAAUUC
rnacentral:rRNA from 1 species